UUCUAGAAACACUUUCCAGUACUUCUACUAUGUUACGACUUAUUCCAACUUAUUAAUGAAAGCGACGGGCAAUAUGUACAUAUUUCAAUUUUUAAUCAUUUUAAUAAACUAAAUAAAAUUACAUUUAAAUCCACCUUCAAAUAAUUAUUAAAAAAUAUUAUUCAUAUAAUCAUUUCUUAUUGUAAUCCAUUAUAUUCUUAAUUAUAAUCUGCAUCUUGAUCUGAAUUAAUUUAUUUUAAAAAUUUUAAAAUAUUAUUUUUAUUAAAAAAUAUUUUUUUAACAACGAUAUACAAAAUAUAUUAAUUAAGUAAAUUUAUUCGUGGACUAUCAAUUAUUAAACAGAUUCCUCUAAAUGAACUAAAAUACCGCCAAAUUAUUUAAGUUUCAAUAAAUAAUUAUAUACUAUUUUAGUAUUUUUAUUUAAAUUUUAAUAAUAGAGUAUCUAAUUCUAGUUUUUAAUAAAAUUUUAUAAAUCAUAAUUAUUAAUUAAAAUUUUAAUUAAAUUAAAAUUUCACCUAAUAAUUUAAUAUUUAAUUUUAAAAUAUCAAUAUUUAUUAUUUACUAAUAAAAUUUAAAUUAUUUUUUGUUUAACCGCAACUGCUGGCACAAAAUUUGUUAAUAAUCAUUAAAUAUUACUAAAUCUUAAUUUCUUAAAUUUUUAAUAUUAAUUACUAUUAAAUUAAUUUUUAAAAAUUCUUAAAAUAAAUUAAAAAUAUAUACUAAAAUUUAUAUGUAAAAUAAAUUCAAAUUAAACUUUUUAAAUCAUAAAAAAU
rnacentral:rRNA from 1 species